UACGUAGGGGGCGAGCGUUAAUCGGAAUUACUGGGCGUAAAGCGUGCGCAGGCGGUCCGCUAAGACAGGUGUGAAAUCCCUGGGCUCAACCUAGGAAUUGCGCUUGUGACUGGCGGGCUAGAGUACGGUAGAGGGGGGUGGAAUUCCUGGUGUAGCAGUGAAAUGCGUAGAGAUCAGGAGGAACACCGAUGGCGAAGGCAGCCCCCUGGGCCGGUACUGACGCUCAGGCACGAAAGCGUGGGGAGCAAACAGG
rnacentral:rRNA from 1 species